rnacentral:misc_RNA from 1 species
GUAGGUGAACCUGCGGAAGGAUCAUUAACACGUUUCGUUCCGAACGUUUUUGACCACUUCUAUUAUCCGUGCACUCAUGAGUCCGGCCUCCCAGCCGCUCACGGGGUUUACUCCGUGUUGCCUGUUGGGCGUUGCUCUUGACUUGAGUUAAUCCUCUCGUUUUGAGCGGCGUUGCCACCUCACCCAAACCCUUAAAUCUAAAUUAUCUGAACUUUUAGUUGACUGUUUUUGUGUGACUUCACUGUCCCAGAAACUGGCAACGAUUAUUGAACAAACAACAACUCUUAACAACGGAUAUCUUGGUUCUC